GUAGGUGGCAAGCGUUGUCCGGAAUUAUUGGGCGUAAAGCGCGCGCAGGUGGUCUUUAAGUCUGAUGUGAAAGCCCCCGGGCUCAACCGGGGAGGGUCAUUGGAAACUGGGGAACUUGAGUGCAGGAGAGGAAAGUGGAAUUCCACGUGUAGCGGUGAAAUGCGUAGAUAUGUGGAGGAACACCAGUGGCGAAGGCGACUUUCUGGCCUGUAACUGACACUGAGGCGCGAAAGCGUGGGGAGCAAACAGGAUUAGACACCCUGGUAGUCCACGCCGUAAACGAUGAGUGCUAAGUGUUGGGGGGUUUCCGCCCCUCAGUGCUGCAGCUAACGCAUUAAGCACUCCGCCUGGGGAGUACGGUCGCAAAGACUG
rnacentral:rRNA from 1 species